ensembl:lncRNA
AUGGCGGAGCAGGAGACUGGGGAGGUCAUGGUGGGGCAGGAGACUGGGGAGGUCAUGGUGGGGCAGGAGACUGGGGAGGCCAUGGCGGAGCAGGAACCUGGGGAGGCCAUGGCGGGGCAGGAGACUGGGGAGGUCAUGGUGGGGCAGGAGACUGGGGAGGCCAUGGUGGGGCAGGAGACUGGGGAGGCCAUGGUGGGGCAGGAGACUGGGGAGGCCAUGGCGGGGCAGGAGACUCUGGAGGCCAUGGCGGGGCAGGAGACUGGGGAGGUCAUGGCGGGGCAGGAGACUCUGGAGGCCAUGGCGGAGCAGGAGACUGGGGAGGCCAUGGCGGGGCAGGAGACUGGGCAGGAGACUGGGGAGGCCAUGGCGGGGCAGGAGACUCGGGAGGCCAUGGUGGGGCAGGAGACUCGGGAGGGCAUGGUGGGGCAGGAGACUGGGGAGGCCAUGGCGGGGCAGGAGACUGGGCAGGAGACUGGGGAGGCCAUGGUGGGGCAGGAGACUGGGCAGGAGACUGGGGAGGCCAUGGUGGGGCAGGAGACUCGGGAGGGCAUGUUGGGGCUGGAGACUGGGGAGGUCAUGGUGGGGCAGGAGACUGGGGAGGCCAUGGCGGGGCAGGAGACUGGGCAGGAGACUGGGGAGGCCAUGGUGGGGCAGGAGACUGGGGAGGCCAUGGUGGGGCAGGAGACUGGGGAGGCCAUGGCGGGGCAGGAGACUGGGCAGGAGACUGGGGAGGCCAUGGUGGGGCAGGAGACUGGGGAGGCCAUGGCGGGGCAGGAGACUCUGGAGGCCAUGGCGGGGCAGGAGACUGGGGAGGUCAUGGUGGGGCAGGAGACUCUGGAGGCCAUGGCGGGGCAGGAGACUGGGGAGGCCAUGGCGGGGCAGGAGACUGGGGAGGCCAUGGCGGGGCAGGAGACUCUGGAGGCCAUGGCGGGGCAGGAGACUGGGGAGGCCAUGGCGGGGCAGGAGACUCUGGAGGCCAUGGUGGGGCAGGAGACUGGGGAGGUCAUGGUGGGGCAGGAGACUCUGGAGGCCAUGGCGGGGCAGGAGACUGGGGAGGCCAUGGCGGGGCAGGAGACUGGGGAGGCCAUGGCGGAGCAGGAGACUGGGGAGGCCAUGGCGGGGCAGGAGACUCUGGAGGCCAUGGCGGGGCAGGAGACUGGGGAGGUCAUGGUGGGGCAGGAGACUGGGGAGGCCAUGGUGGGGCAGGAGACUGGGGAGGCCAUGGCGGUGCAGGAGACUCUGGAGGCCAUGGCGGGGCAGGAGACUGGGGAGGUCAUGGUGGGGCAGGAGACUGGGGAGGCCAUGGCGGGGCAGGAGACUGGGGAGGUCAUGGUGGGGCAGGAGACUGGGGAGGCCAUGGCGGGGCAGGAGACUCUGGAGGCCAUGGCGGGGCAGGAGACUGGGGAGGUCAUGGCGGGGCAGGAGACUGGGGAGGCCAUGGCGGGGCAGGAGACUCUGGAGGCCAUGGCGGGGCAGGAGACUGGGGAGGUCAUGGUGGGGCAGGAGACUGGGGAGGCCAUGGCGGAGCAGGAGACUGGGGAGGCCAUGGCGGGGCAGGAGACUGGGCAGGAGACUGGGGAGGCCAUGGCGGGGCAGGAGACUCGGGAGGCCAUGGUGGGGCAGGAGACUCGGGAGGGCAUGGUGGGGCAGGAGACUGGGGAGGCCAUGGCGGGGCAGGAGACUGGGCAGGAGACUGGGGAGGCCAUGGUGGGGCAGGAGACUGGGCAGGAGACUGGGGAGGCCAUGGUGGGGCAGGAGACUCGGGAGGGCAUGGUGGGGCUGGAGACUGGGGAGGUCAUGGUGGGGCAGGAGACUGGGGAGGCCAUGGCGGGGCAGGAGACUGGGCAGGAGACUGGGGAGGCCAUGGUGGGGCAGGAGACUGGGGAGGCCAUGGCGGGGCAGGAGACUCUGGAGGCCAUGGCGGAGCAGGAGACUCUGGAGGCCAUGGCGGGGCAGGAGACUCAGGAGGCCAUGGUGGGGCAGGAGACUCGGGAGGGCAUGGUGGGGCAGGAGACUGUGGAGGCCAUGGCGGGGCAGGAGACUGGGCAGGAGACUGGGGAGGCCAUGGUGGGGCAGGAGACUGGGCAGGAGACUGGGGAGGCCGGUGGGGCAGGAGACUCGGGAGGGCAUGGUGGGGCAGGAGACUGGGGAGGCCAUGGCGGGGCAGGAGACUGGGGAGGCCAUGGCGGGGCAGGAGACUGGGGAGGCCAUGGCGGGGCAGGAGACUCUGGAGGCCAUGGCGGGGCAGGAGACUGGGGAGGCCAUGGCAGGGCAGGAGACUGGGCAGGAGACUGGGGAGGCCAUGGUGGGACGGAGACUCUGGAGGCCAUGGCGGGGCAGGAGACUCUGGAGGCCAUGGCGGGGCAGGAGACUCUGGAGGCCAUGGCGGAGCAGGAGACUGGUGAGGCCAUAGUGGGGCAGGAGACUGGGGAGGCCAUGGCGGAGCAGGAGACUGGGGAGGCCAUGGCGGGGCAGGAGACUCUGGAGGCCAUGGCGGGGCAGGAGACUGGGGAGGUCAUGGUGGGGCAGGAGACUGGGGAGGCCAUGGUGGGGCAGGAGACUGGGGAGGCCAUGGCGGGGCAGGAGACUCUGGAGGCCAUGGCGGGGCAGGAGACUGGGGAGGUCAUGGCGGGGCAGGAGACUGGGGAGGCCAUGGCGGGGCAGGAGACUCUGGAGGCCAUGGCGGGGCAGGAGACUGGGGAGGUCAUGGUGGGGCAGGAGACUGGGGAGGCCAUGGCGGGGCAGGAGACUCUGGAGGCCAUGGCAGAGCAGGAGACUGGGGAGGCCAUGGCGGGGCAGGAGACUGGGCAGGAGACUGGGGAGGCCAUGGCGGGGCAGGAGACUCGGGAGGCCAUGGUGGGGCAGGAGACUCGGGAGGGCAUGGUGGGGCAGGAGACUGGGGAGGCCAUGGCGGGGCAGGAGACUGGGCAGGAGACUGGGGAGGCCAUGGUGGGGCAGGAGACUGGGCAGGAGACUGGGGAGGCCAUGGUGGGGCAGGAGACUCGGGAGGGCAUGGUGGGGCUGGAGACUGGGGAGGUCAUGGUGGGGCAGGAGACUGGGGAGGCCAUGGCGGGGCAGGAGACUGGGCAGGAGACUGGGGAGGCCAUGGUGGGACAGGAGACUCUGGAGGCCAUGGCGGGGCAGGAGACUCUGGAGGCCAUGGUGGGGCAGGAGACUCUGGAGGCCAUGGCGGAGCAGGAGACUGGUGAGGCCAUGGUGGGGCAGGAGACUGGGGAGGCCAUGGCGGAGCAGGAGACUGGGGAGGCCAUGGCGGGGCAGGAGACUCUGGAGGCCAUGGCGGGGCAGGAGACUCUGGAGGCCAUGGCGGGGCAGGAGACUCUGGAGGCCAUGGCGGGGCAGGAGACUCUGGAGGCCAUGACGGGGCAGGAGACUGGGCAGGAGACUGGGGAGGCCAUGGUGGGGCAGGAGACUCGGGAGGCCAUGGUGGGGCAGGAGAUUAGGGAGGCCAUGGUGGGGCAGGAGAUUAGGGAGGCCAUGGUGGGGGAGGAGACUCUGGAGGUCAUGGCGGGCAGGAGACUGGGGAGGCCAUGGUGGGGCAGGAGACUGGGGAGGCCAUGGUGGGGCAGGAGACUCGGGAGGCCAUGGCGGGGCAGGAGACUGGGCAGGAGACUGGGGAGGCCAUGGCGGGGCAGGAGACUCGGGAGGCCAUUGCGGAGCAGGAGACUGGGCAGGAGACUGGGCAGGAGACUGGGGAGGCCAUGGCGGGGCAGGAGACUCGGGAGGGCAUGGUGGGGCAGGAGACUGGGGAGGCCAUGGCGGGGCAGGAGACUGGGGAGGAGACUGGGGAGGCCAUGGUGGGGCAGGAGACUCGGGAGGCCAUGGCGGGGCAGGAGACUGGGGAGGCCAUGGUGGGGCAGGAGACUCGGGAGGCCAUGGUGGGGCAGGAGACUGGGGAGGCCAUGGUGGGGCAGGAGACUCGGGAGGCCAUGGCGGGCAGGAGACUGGGCAGGAGACUGGGGAGGCCAUGGUGGGGCAGGAGACUGGGCAGGAGACUGGGGAGGCCAUGGCGGGGCAGGAGACUCGGGAGGCCAUUGCGGAGCAGGAGACUGGGCAGGAGACUGGGGAGGCCAUGGCGGGGCAGGAGACUCGGGAGGGCAUUACGGAGCAGGAGACUGGGGAGGAGACUGGGGAGGCCAUGGUGGGGCAGGAAACUCGGGAGGCCAUGGCGGGGCAGGAACUGGGGAGUCUGGGGACUCGGGAGGGCAUGGUGGGGCAGGAGACUCGGGAGGCCAUGGCGGGUCAGGAGACUCUGGAGGCCAUGGCGGGGCAGGAGACUUGGGAGGCCAUAGCCCCAGCUUCCGCCUCUAUGGCUGGAGACCUAAUAAGGUUUUGAAAACCUGGCAAUCCUGA